rnacentral:lncRNA from 1 species
CCUGCACUACUGCCACGCCCGCGGCGUCGCCCACCGCGACGUCAAGCCCCAGAACCUCCUCCUCGACCGCGACGGCAACCUCAAGGUGUCCGACUUCGGCCUGGCCGCGCUGCCCGAGCAGCUCCGCGACGGUCGCCUCCACACCGCCUGUGGCACCCCGGCGUACACCGCCCCUGAGGUUAUCCGCCGGAAGGGCUACGACGGCGCCAAGGCCGACGCCUGGUCCUGCGGCGUCAUCCUCUUCGUCCUCCUCGC